rnacentral:tRNA from 1 species
CGGGGUAUAGCGCAGUCUGGUAGCGCGUUUGGUUCGGGACCAAAAGGCCAUGGGUUCGAAUCCCAUUACCCCGACCA